AGACGUCUACAUUAGAUACCCGUGUAGUCCCAGCCGUAAACGAUACUCGCUAGGUGUCGGCCACGGUGCGACCGUUGUCGGUGCCGUAGGGAAGCCGUGAAGCGAGCCACCUGGGAAGUACGGCCGCAAGGCUGAAACUUAAAGGAAUUGGCGGGGAGCACAACAACGGGUGGAGCUUGCGGUUUAAUUGGAUUCAACGCCGGAAAUCUUACCGGGACCGACAGCAACAUGAAGGCCAAGCUGAAGACUUUGCCGGAUUAGCUG
rnacentral:rRNA from 1 species